CAAAAAGGCGAAAGAGUCCCAGCCCUAGUCUGAACUUGCAUGAACUUGUUGGAUAUUUCUCUAAUAUAAAUACGAAUGCGAAUGAUAAACAUUACUCAGUUGUUUCCGGAAUUUCAACCACCAUGGAUAAUAAAUCCAUAUGAUGAAACUGAAGUGGAAAAUGUGGUACUGCAAGAAGAGCUACUCGAGCUUAGCACUCAUGAGGAGCUCAAAGUAGCAUUCAAAAGAGGGUAUCAAUCAUUUUGGCUGCAGGCACAAAUACCUGAAAAAUAUCCAGGAUUGUGGGGAAUUGUGCAAAAAUUUCUCAUAGCGUUUCCUUCGUCAUAUCUUGUCGAACGCAGUUUUAGUGCCGUAACAAACUUGUUGACAAAAAAACGGAGCAGAUUAAAUAUUACAGAGCGAGGAGAUUUACGGUUAUACCAUAGACAAAUAAAGAGAAGACUGACGAGUGACGACUGCGAAGAGUCGUUUGAAAUCUUGAUGCUAGCGACCCGAGGGACAGGGUUAGGAACUAAUGUAUCGCUAUUUCACACAAAAACAUAUUUCAUCCUUUUCUACUGUAACUGUAAAUGAUGAAAUGUUUUCGGCGUAAAUUCCAACCUCUCUUUUGUGUUUCAGUUCCCUCCUGAUUCUUAUUUUCUUGCAGGUUCAAGUUUGUAUGAAUAUUGAAUAACAAUCUUUAUUUCAGAAGGUUCUCAUUUACAAAAAAAGAACAAAUGAAACAAUGUCAAAAACUCCUUACAUAAAAAAGUCCUAAAUUUUAGAGGGUUCCAGUUGAAUUAAAUGAUCAUGUAGGUUUCAAAAAGCUUUACGUUGGAGUUCUGCCAAAGAAUUGAAGAUUCCAUUCAAUCCUUCAAUUUCCUGGAUAUUUGUCAGUAAUCACAAAAAUAAUUAUUUUAUUGUCAAUCUUCAAAUGAAAUGUUUCCUUCUUUAAUAUUUAAGUGGUACAAUACGAUAUAUAUAUAUAAUUUGAUUCAAUUAUUUCAUUAAUUUCUGUUCACAAAUAUCAAUUUGUAUAAUUAUGUGCAAUAAAAAGUAUGUCAAAA